rnacentral:lncRNA from 1 species
GGAAUUCUGAGUGGCUUAGCUGUAUGGUUCUAGUUCAUGGUCUCACAUGCAGUUGCAGUCAAGAUGUUGGCUGAGGCUGCAGUCAUCCAAAGACCUGACUGGGACUGGAGGAGCCACUUCCAAGAUGGCUCACCCACGUGGCUGUUGUGGGCAGGAGGCCUUACUUUCUUGCCAUGUAGUCAUCUUCAUAGAUCUGCUUGAGUGUCCUCGUGACAUGGCAGCUGACUUCCUUCACAGUGAGUGAUCCAAGGAAGAGAGUA